rnacentral:lncRNA from 1 species
AGGAACAUAAAAAGGAAUCCUAUUUUAGGAUUAAUAGGCACUUGCAUCAUUUUGGUCCUAUGUGCUGUUUUAAGGAGCAUCUACAUCAUCAUCAAAUAUUUUUAUUGUGCUGACAGUGCACACAAAGUGAAAUGUGAAGGCAGACCGGGAUGGUGGGCACGCUCAGACGGCGCUAGAAAUCAUAUCUGUGGCAGAAAUCGUGAACAGAUCACCCAAAAACCUGGAGGGACGCGCGCGGCAGCUCCCAAAAGCCCGAGGCUUGCCGCUAGAUGGCAAACUUUAAUUUUCAAAUCCUGGAGCUGCCACCGCUCCUGC